GGGGUGUAGCUUAAGCCCGGCAGAGCACCUGGACUAAAUCCAGAAGAAAUGAGGUUCAAAUCCUCAUCACCCCA
rnacentral:tRNA from 1 species